CUAUAUCUGGUGGUGAUUUCCAUUUUCCCUUCAUCCUUGUAGUUCUGCUGUGAUGCCUGACUCUAAUUGCAUUCCUUCUGAGCAGCUGUUUCGCUCGGUUGGCUGGAGCCUGGAAACGUUUCUUCUAGUACCAAACAAGAACCGCCGACUGACCGGGCCAGCCGGCGUUUCUGCCAGCUGCCGAGGCCACGCCGCGCUCCGCUGAUGGCAGCGGAUAGCUUCGAAUCCGUUCCGCGCGGUCACCCGGCAGUGGCAGGCAGGCACUGUUGACCGUCAGUGCCGUUGACUGUCGGUCAAACAUCUGCCGAUGAAUCAGCCGGACAGGCAAUGUGACGCACGCGUCAGUGUUUUUUCUAAUAAAGAAAAAAAUAGGAAUACAA